GGAAAACAGGAACUGAAAUUAUCAGUAUCAGCUGAUCCACAAGCUUACAUGAGUUUGUCAGCUGACUCUGCUGAAAUCAAUGAUUGUUUGACAAGUGAAAACCAAGGAAGAAGGAAGUGAAUUUGAGGUUAAAUUGUGUUCAAAAUCUUUUUACAGAACACAACUAUUGUCGGCCGAAUUCAAGAUGGUGUGUGUUCCAUGCUUCAUGAUACCAUUCCUGCUUAUCGUUUGGCGCAUUCUCCAGCCUUUCAUCCUGAGGUUUUGGAAUCCAUGGCAAGUAACAGACAAGGAUGGUAAAAAAGUCACCAAAGUCCCGUUCAAUUGCGUCAACUGUGUGGAAAAAACAGAUGAAGAUGGCAACACAAUAAUGGAGUGCCCCAUUUCAAAGAAGCCCGCAAGUAACGACAGUGAAACUCAUCUUAAAUCUUCAUGAACCUCUUGUAUUUUAUUUCUUCUCAUUAUUGGAAUAUCAAUGGCUAUUAUAUUUGAGUUUAGAGAGCACUGGCAAAAACU